rnacentral:rRNA from 1 species
GUUGUAUGGUUAAGUGACUAAGCGUACACGGUGGAUGCCUUGGCAGUCAGAGGCGAUGAAGGACGUAUUAACUUGCGAUAAGCCCAGAUUAGGCAGUAAAAGCCACUUGAGUCUGGGAUUUCCGAAUGGGGAAACCCACUUGCAUAAGCAAGUAUCCUUACCUGAAUACAUAGGGUAAGGAGGCGAACCGGGGGAACUGAAACAUCUAAGUACCCCGAGGAAAAGAAAUCAACCGAGAUUCCGAAAGUAGCGGCGAGCGAAAUUGGACUAGCCCUUAAGCUUUUUAUGCGUCAGGUGAAACUUCUGGAAAGUUGUGCGAUACAGGGUGAUAGCCCCGUAACCGGCAACGCAUAUAAAGUGAAAUCGAGUAGGGCGGGACACGUGAUAUCCUGUCUGAAUAUGGGGGGACCAUCCUCCAAGGCUAAAUACUACUGACUGACCGAUAGUGAACCAGUACCGU